AGCCACAUUGGGACUGAGACACGGCCCAAACUCCUACGGGAGGCAGCAGUGGGGAAUCUUGCACAAUGGAGGAAACUCUGAUGCAGCGAUGCCGCGUGAGUGAAGAAGGCCUUUGGGUUGUAAAGCUCUUUCGUCGGGGAAGAAAAUGACUGUACCCGAAUAAGAAGGUCCGGCUAACUUCGUGCCAGCAGCCGCGGUAAUACGAAGGGACCUAGCGUAGUUCGGAAUUACUGGGCUUAAAGAGUUCGUAGGUGGUUGAAAAAGUUGGUGGUGAAAUCCCAGAGCUUAACUCUGGAACUGCCAUCAAAACUUUUCAGCUAGAGUUUGAUAGAGGAAAGCAGAAUUUCUAGUGUAGAGGUGAAAUUCGUAGAUAUUAGAAAGAAUACCAAUUGCGAAGGCAGCUUUCUGGAUCAAUACUGACACUGAGGAACGAAAGCAUGGGUAGCGAAGAGGAUUAGAUACCCUCGUAGUCCAUGCCGUAAACGAUGUGUGUUAGACGUUGGAAAUUUAUUUUCAGUGUCGCAGUGAAAGCGAUAAACACACCGCCUGGGGAGUACGACCGCAAGGUUAAAACUCAAAUGAAUUGACGGGGACCCGCACAAGUAGUGGAGCAUGUGGUUUAAUUCGAAGAUACGCGCAGAACCUUACCAACACUUGACAUGUUCGUCGCGACUUUAAGAGAUUAAAGUUUUCGGUUCGGCCGGACGAAACACAGGUGCUGCAUGGCUGUCGUCAGCUCGUGUCGUGAGAUGUUGGGUUAAGUCCCGCAACGAGCGCAACCCUCACUUUUAGUUGCCAUCAUUUAGUUGGGCACUCUGAAAGAACUGCCAGUGAUAAGCUGGAGGAAGU
rnacentral:rRNA from 1 species